AGAACACCCAAAUAGAGACAAAUCCACCAACUACAUGAAAGGUCAUGUCACCUACCUUCAUCAGUCCUGUCUUUAAUUCACUGGAAAACAUUAAGGGAAAGACCCUCAGACAUGUCAUAACAGGAUAAAGGCUGCAGACUCACCAAGGAUCCAUAUGAUUACUGGCAAUUUGGUGGAGGAUUUUUCUUUAGCUGCUAUCACUUCUGCUACAGGAUCGUACAGUGAGCAGACAAGAAGUGAAGAGGGAGCAAGAGGAAGCGAUGGCAUCGGAGCAGACCUCAAGCUGGGACUCUACUAGAGCAAUGCAAAAGGCUGUCGCAUUUUAUUGAGAUGCUAAGUUUUUCUACUGUUACUGUACACUUAAAAUAUUAAAUGUAUUUCAUCUAAGUUUUACUGUAAUUGAACAAAAACUGUCUUUUAAGUAUUCCAUUCAGAUUUGUACUUUACUUUAACAUUACUUUGAAAACACUGCAAGUUAAAGUUUUCAGAUGUAGAAAGUAUUUAGACUUUUUUGUUUUGUUUUCCAAAAUAAAACUUGUUUUACAAUCUUGAGCAUGUGCUAACUCUUUAUUAAAUGUGUUUGUAAUUAAGCCAUUGCUGUCAGUCAUUUGACAUU